CGCCAGACUCCUACGGGAGGCAGCAGUGGGGGAUAUUGCACAAUGGGGGAAACCCUGAUGCAGCGACGCCGCGUGGGUGAAGAAGUAUUUCGGUAUGUAAAGCCCUAUCGGCAGGGAAGAAGGAGGACGGUACCUGACUAAGAAGCCCCGGCUAACUACGUGCCAGCAGCCGCGGUAAUACGUAGGGGGCAAGCGUUAUCCGGAUUUACUGGGUGUAAAGGGGGCGCAGACGGCAGCGCAAGCCAGGAGUGAAAGCCCGGGGCCCAACCCCGGGACUGCUCUUGGAACUGCGCGGCUGGAGUGCAGGAGGGGCAGGCGGAAUUCCUGGUGUAGCGGUGAAAUGCGUAGAUAUCAGGAGGAACACCGGUGGCGAAGGCGGCCUGCUGGACUGCGACUGACGUUGAGGCCCGAAAGCGUGGGGAGCAAACAGGAUUAGAUACCCGGGUAGC
rnacentral:rRNA from 1 species